rnacentral:rRNA from 1 species
AACGCGAAGAACCUUACCCAGGCUCGAAAUGCAGGUGGCGAUACCAGAGAUGGUAUUUUCCGUAAGGACGCCUGUAUAGGUGCUGCAUGGCUGUCGUCAGCUCGUGCCGUGAGGUGUUGGGUUAAGUCCCGCAACGAGCGCAACCCUUAUCAUUAGUUGCCAACACGCAAGGUGGGGACUCUAAUGAGACUGCCUAGGUUAACUAGGAGGAAGGUGAGGAUGACGUCAAGUCCGCAUGGCCUUUAUGUCUGGGGCUACACACGUGCUACAAUGGUCGGUACAGAAGGCAGCAAGACCGUAAGGUGGAGCAAAUCCGUAAAACCGAUCUCAGUUCAGAUUGUAGUCUGCAACUCGACUACAUGAAGCUGGAAUUGCUAGUAAUGACGUGUCAGCAACAACGUCGUGAAUACGUUCCCGGGCCUUGUA